rnacentral:sRNA from 1 species
CGUACCUGCAAAUCGAACAGUUGAGGUGAACAGUUUGCAGGGGAAGUCAAACUGCAGCAGAGGUGAUGAGUCUCGAUUGGAGGCGUCCACUCGACUGAGUCCAAGCGGACUACGAAAGCGUUUCUCCAAUCAAGCGUCGCGGGAAACCGAAUUUCGCUCAAGUUGUUUGUGUUUUUGUGAGCCACUUGACCCGGGCCCAGCUGUUGAUCUGAUAAAGCGGCCGGCAAGACGACGACAAGCAACGAUCCAUCCCCACUUGGAAAUCGGCGCACGCAAUCAAAAGUAAAAGUUAUGCAAACUGCCAGAGGGGCCGCGCGAAGCAAAGAAACAGGUGAUCUGGUUAUCGCCCGGUAAUCGAAAGCUAUUGGUUACGAAACGGUGUAUCGUUCGGACAACUCUAGUUGUCUCUUUCGCACUCCCAGUGAAGCCCAAGGUCUAUUAAUAAAAAGCCCUUUGCAAUUUCA